GGGAUGGGGACGCGUCGGAUUAGCUUGACGGCGGGGCGACGGCCCACCGUGGCGACGAUCCGCAGGGGUUCUGAGAGGAAGGUCCCCCACACUGGCACUGAGACACGGGCCAGACUCCUACGGGAGGCAGCAGUGAGGAAUAUUGGUCAAUGGCCGAGAGGCUGAACCAGCCAAGUAGCGUGCAGGAUGACGGCCCUACGGGUUGUAAACUGCUUUUGCGGGAGGAUAACCGGCGCCACGGGUGGCGCCCUGCAGGUAUCCCGUGAAUAAGGACCGGCUAAUUCCGUGCCAGCAGCCGCGGUAAUACGGAAGGUCCGGGCGUUAUCCGGAUUUAUUGGGUUUAAAGGGAGCGCAGGCUGAUUGUUAAGCGUGACGUGAAAUGUAGCCGCUCAACGGCUGAACUGCGUCGCGAACUGGCAGUCUUGAGUGAGUACGACGUCAGCGGAAUUCGUGGUGUAGCGGUGAAAUGCUUAGAUAUCACGAAGAACCCCGAUUGCGAAGGCAGCUGACGAGUCCUUUACUGACGCUAAAGCUCGAAGGUGCGGGUAUCGAACAGGAUUAGAUACCCUGGUAGUCCGCACGGUAAACGAUGGAUGCCCGCUGUUGGCGAUACAAUGUCAGCGGCCAAGCGAAAGCGUUAAGCAUCCCACCUGGGGAGUACGCCGGCAACGGUGAAACUCAAAGGAAUUGACGGGGGCCCGCACAAGCGGAGGAACAUGUGGUUUAAUUCGAUGAUACGCGAGGAACCUUACCCGGGCUUGAACUGCACAGGAAGGAUACAGAGAUGUUGACGCCCUUCGGGGCCUGUGUGGAGGUGCUGCAUGGUUGUCGUCAGCUCGUGCCGUGAGGUGUCGGCUUAAGUGCCAUAACGAGCGCAACCCUUUCCGUUAGUUGCCAUCAGGUCAUGCUGGGCACUCUGGCGGUACUGCCACCGUAAGGUGUGAGGAAGGUGGGGAUGACGUCAAAUCAGCACGGCCCUUACGUCCGGGGCUACACACGUGUUACAAUGGGUGGUACAGAGAGUCGAGUGCCGGCAACGUCACUCCAAUCCUUAAAGCCAUCCUCAGUUCGGAUUGGGGUCUGCAACCCGACCCCAUGAAGCUGGAUUCGCUAGUAAUCGCGCAUCAGCCAUGGCGCGGUGAAUACGUUCCCGGGCCUUGCACUCACCGCCCGUCAAG
rnacentral:rRNA from 1 species